GCUAGCGCCGCCUCCCUCACCGACCACGUCUGUCCCGGCCGCCGCCGCGCAGCCGCCUCCCUGCUAGCUCACCCGGCUGCAGCGCCCGGUGCUGCCCAGCAUGAACAUCAUGGACUUCAACGUGAAGAAGCUGGCGGCCGACGCGGGCACCUUUCUCAGCCGCGCCGUGCAGUUCACAGAAGAAAAGCUUGGCCAAGCAGAGAAGACAGAAUUGGAUGCUCACUUAGAGAACCUCCUUAGCAAAGCUGAAUGUACCAAAAUAUGGACAGAAAAAAUAAUGAAACAAACUGAAGUAUUAUUACAGCCAAAUCCAAAUGCCAGAAUAGAAGAAUUUGUUUAUGAGAAACUGGAUAGAAAAGCGCCAAGUCGUAUAAACAACCCAGAACUUUUGGGACAGUAUAUGAUUGACGCAGGGACUGAGUUUGGCCCAGGAACAGCUUAUGGUAAUGCCCUUAUUAAGUGUGGAGAAACACAAAAACGAAUUGGAACAGCUGACAGAGAGCUGAUUCAAACAUCAGCCUUAAAUUUUCUUACUCCUUUAAGAAACUUCAUAGAAGGAGAUUACAAAACAAUUGCUAAAGAAAGAAAACUAUUACAAAAUAAGAGACUGGAUUUGGAUGCUGCAAAAACCAGACUGAAAAAGGCAAAAGCUGCAGAAACUAGAAGUUCACAACUAAACUCAGCUCGCCUUGAAGGAGAUAACAUUAUGGUAAAUUUCUCUUACAUGCUCAACUUCCUGCAUGUAAAAUGGCUGAAGAUUUGGGCAGAGGAAGUAACAAAAUCUGAACAGGAAUUAAGAAUAACUCAAAGUGAGUUUGAUCGUCAGGCUGAGAUUACCAGACUUCUGCUAGAGGGAAUCAGCAGUACACAUGCUCAUCAUCUUCGCUGUCUGAAUGACUUUGUAGAAGCCCAGAUGACUUACUAUGCACAGUGUUACCAGUACAUGCUAGAUCUCCAGAAACAACUGGGAAGUUUUCCAUCCAAUUAUCUUUCUAACAACAAUCAGACUUCUGGAACUCCCGUGCCAUCUACUUUAUCAAAUGCAGUUGGUUCUUCUGCCAUGGCUUCAACCAGUGGCCUAGGAAUCACCUCUCCUUCCAACGUCACUGACCUUAAGGAGUCAAGUGGCAGCAGGAAGGCCAGGGUUCUCUAUGACUAUGAUGCUGCAAACAGUACUGAGUUGUCCCUUCUGGCAGAUGAGGUGAUCUCUGUGUUCAGUGUCGUUGGCAUGGAUUCAGACUGGCUAAUGGGGGAAAGGGGAAAUCAGAAGGGCAAAGUGCCGAUUACCUACUUAGAACUGCUCAAUUAAAUAAGUGGACUAUGAAAAAACUACUCAUCAUGACAUCUUAUUUAUAUAUAAAUAACUAAAUAAAUCAGGUUUAAGUAUCUUCCAUGGUAAUGACUUAAGAGACUGGAACACAAAAACAAAAACCCAGCCAUCAGAAACCAGCCUUUCUGCCGAUAAAGUUGCAUGGAUUUCUGUUCUCAUUCAUUCAACAAAUAUUUGUUGAGAGCCAGAUACUAUGUUGAUCAACUCGGGAUGAUACCAUGAACAAGAGGCACAUAGUCCUUGCCCAUGUAGAGCUUAAAGAGGAGGAUGCAGAAAAUAAAGCAGUUGUUCUGUAACAGUUAGUGUUAUGAAGGAAAAAAAGGCACUGUGUUUAGGAAUCAUCUAACUCGGCAGAGUGAGAAAUGGUUUGGGAUGGAAGUGUUACGGGUAGGAAAAAGAUGUGCCCAGCCUAGAGGCGAGUGCCUAAGUAGUUCAGUCUGACUUACGUAUGGAGUACAAAGUGUAUUUCAUUUUUUCGGGGAAUGUUAAUCUAUCAAAAUGAUUUUUUGAUGUUUUUUAAAAAUUAAUAUUUAAACAUCAUUUUUAAAUAAUCCUCUUUUGUUAAGAGCUCCUAAUAAGAGCUUGGUAAACAUGUUAGUAAUUUUAGUUCACUGUCCAGACUUUAACUGGAGUUGUUACCCUUUAUCUGUGCUAUAAGACAGCCCUCUGAAUUUUAUAGUUUCACAGGACGCUUUGACUCCCUAUAAAUUGCCAUACUGCUAGAAUACCAGCUACUAUUUAAGUCCAGAUUUAGGCUUUGAAACAUAACAGAAAUUUCGUAACAGAAAUUUAGGUCAACUUAAACAACAAUUUAAAUUAGGUUUAUGGGAAGUAGAAUAAUAAAGGGGAAAGAGUAUUGGAAUGAAUUGGUCCUGGUUUCAUAUCCAGCCAUCCUCACAUACUCUUGAGCCUCAGCUCAGACAUUCCAUACCAAUGACGUGCCAUUUCUUGUCAAAGAUGGAGAUAAUUGUACCAUCAUGGUGUUAUGGGAUAAUAUAGCAAAUGUUAUGGUAGGUGCUUUUUAGGGAAAAUCUUGGCAUAUAGUAAACACAUUCUGUAUUCUGUAAAUACCAGUUUCCCCUUGUUAGCCUGGACCUACCCAGACUGUGGCCCUGUUCAUGGUUGUGUAUAAGAGAGGCCUCUUUUACAUUCAUACUUUGCUCACUCCCUAUCAAUUUCAUUCUCUUUCUUUAAAUCAGACCCAGAUCUGGGUUUAACCUCACCACAGUCAGUGUAAAAUCUUUAUCAGAACCUUCUGCUUUCCAUCAGGUGAAUGUUAAUUAUUGAAGGCUUCUAUACAUUAUUAGAGUACUAUAAUGUUAAUAGGUUCAAAGACUUCUUGUGCCUUUGUCUUCCACAAAUCCACCAUUAUAUGUAGGUUUGUUCUUAGGACUGUUCUUAUUUUAAUCGGGUUUUGUUUGGUCGGGUAGGAUGGUGGUGGUUGUUUUAUUUUGGUUUUAGCUUAAAGUCAUGGGUUUAGUUUUUACUCAGGUAAUGGUCCAAAAAAUUCUUAGGCAUGGAAGAAAAAAGUUAGGAAGCCUAUUAAUUUAUGGUGCAAUUCAGAAUUGUUUCAACCCCGUGCCCCUGAUCAUCCAAACGUACAGUAACGUGAAGCACACACACGUGAAUAAAAUAAUAAACUUGGAAAUAUUUGUAGGUUCUUUUACCAACAAACAAAAAGUGAGUGAUUGGAUUGUAUUUAUCUUUAUCCUCAAUCUGACCUAUAAGGUCAUAGUGUUAGGAAAAAUUUUUGGUGCUAAUCAAAAAAAUUCAUACUAUAGGAAAUGCCUCAUGGGGCCAAGAUCCUCAGUGGGCUGCAGCCCAUUCUUCUAGUCUGUUGUUAUCCUUCAUCCAGAAAGGAAGCUGGUGUUGGGAGGAAAUUUCUAAGAUGAACUGUAGAGAGGAAGGUGAGGGUCAGGACAAUAAACAGCAGCCAUGUUAACCCAAGGAGACCCAGCUUCUAUAGUUUGUCAACAGGAUUCCUAAAAAAGUCCCUUCCUUAUCCCCAGGAUCCCUGAAAUUCUGGAAUAUAUUGUCCUAGUUUCCCUUCGGGCCUGAGGGAGGAGCUGUAAUGGAGAAAUGGCCUCACAGCCAGUUUUUCUUCAACCCCUCCUCUGGAUGAUCAAGGCUCCUAGCUCAUGGUGAGACUCCAAAGGUGGAGAGGAAAUUCCUCAACCACACCUGUCCCCUCUCCCAUGUCAUCGUCCUAAUUGGAAAUUCUACUCAGUAGAGCAGUGGUUGUCAUAGUUUGAAACCCCAGACCAAGGCUAGCUACAUCGCCUGGAAAGUUGUUAAAAAUGCUGAUUACUAUUUUCCAGUAUUCGUUCUUUAUUUGUACUUGGCUUUUUUCUUCGAGGGCCUCUGGAACUAGUGUUUGUUCAUCAUGUGACAGCUUUUUAAAUGUUUAAAACAAAAAUCUUUACUAUGUUCUAACAAAUAAUUGUAAUUAUUUUAAUAAUUCAUUUAGUAAUAUCUGUCACUCUAGAAUGUAGACUUCCUGAGAUACAGGCUAUAAUUCUUUUGAUUCCAAACUCCCAAAUCUUAGCAAAAGACCUAGCUCAUGAUAUCUACUCAGUAAAUACUUGUUUAAUGAAAGAAAAGAAUUUGAAUUCCUAAGCCUUCCCCUGGACCUACUGAAUGCAGCUCUGUGGGUGUGCCAAGCAAUAUGUUGUAAAAAACCAUUUGAGUGACUCUGCUGCAAUCUAAGGUUUGAGAACCACUGCAGAGCUAACAGAACUUUUCACCUUCAAGCCUACUGUCUGACAUCACUUGAAAAAUUCCUGCCUUAUGUAACUCUUACAACAUUACCCUCAAGGUUAGAGGAACCUUACUGCUCUCUUCCUACAAGUGAGUAUGAAGGUAUAAGGGUGUGUUUAGCGUCAGUGGAGGGUACUGCUUAGGAUCCACGCUGCUGUGAAAGGAGUCUAGGAAUAUGGAUCCUUUACACACAUUUCCACUCAAUGCAGUGCCUUUUAAUUCAUGACUAGUAUCAAACACCCUGACAACCAUUAGAGCAGUAUUUGACUAACAUGUACAUCCCUGUGCCUCAGGUUGCUGAGCUAUGCUCAUUCUUUUUAAGAACUGUCAAUGCUUCUUUUAUAGUAUAAGUCAUAGCCAUGUUGGUUAAAAAAAUAGUUUAAAAAAUCGCCUACAAUUUCGGCAUCCAGGGAAAACCACUGUUAUUUAGCUAUAUGGCCUUCCAGACUCUUCUGUGUGUUAUACAUUUUUUUAAAUGGGAUCAAAUUGUACAUGCUGUUUUGUAACUUUUUCACUCAACAGUACCAUGACUAUCUUGCUGUGUCAUGUAUUUCUACAUCUUUUCUAAUACCUGCGUGAUAUUUCAUUCUAUGUGCCACCUUUUAGUAAACUACUGUUGAAUUUUUAGGUUUCUAGUUUUUUCACUAAUAAACUGCUUUAAAGAACA